rnacentral:lncRNA from 1 species
GUUUGAUGGAAGGAUAAAGAGACUCAAAGUCAUAGGUUGCCAAGACAUUACCUUGGUUCCAUUGUACUUCCCUUAUUCUGUACAAGGCGUCCUCUACCGCCAUGGUUGAAUAACAGUUAGGACCCAAGACGCGCAUGCACCAUUUAGCCAAAGUUUUUUCGAGGCCAUAUGUGGGUGCCUUCAAUUUCUCGACUAUCGGCCUAGCAGCAAUAGGGUGUUUGUGUGUCUUGAUGAAUGCGAAAAGUCGGGGACAAGCUGGGUCCCUAAUGCUCCUAUGCUUCCACAUUUGCGGGAAAGCACUAUUUUUUACUAAUUUAUCAACUGCUGCUGCAAGCCUCCUUGUUGGGUCUUCUUUUAUACGGAGCGGUUGUGUUUUUUCGAUAUAGUCUAGCAAGAAAUGAUCAUAAGAAUCUUCAGACAGAAGAACUACCUUUUUCGUCUUAUCUUCCCUCGUGAAGGUCAAAUUGUUAUCCCUGGCCCAUGCUAUUGUUUUUCGUAACAUUAAUGGCAUAUUUAUACGGAGGGGCCAAUAUAUUUGUAUGGAGGUGACGUUUUUCUUA